CCUACGGGGUGCAGCAGUAGGGAAUCUUGCACAAUGGGGGAAAGCCUGAUGCAGCGACGCCGCGUGAGUGAUGAAGUAUUUCGGGAUGUAAAGUUCUAUCAGCAGGGAAGAUAAUGACGGUACCUGAUUAAGAAGCCCCGGCUAACUACGUGCCAGCAGCCGCGGUAAUACGUAGGGGGCAAGCGUUAUCCGGAUUUACUGGGUGUAAAGGGUGCGUAGGUGGCAGAGCAAGUUAGAGGUGAAAGCCCGGGGCUCAAACCUGGGACUGCAUUUGAGACUGUCCAGCUGGAGUGCCGGAGAGGUAAGCGGAAUUCCUAGUGUAGCGGUGAAAUGCGUAGAUAUUAGGAGGAACACCAGUGGCGAAGGCGGCUUACUGGACUGUAACUGACACUGAGGCACGAAAGCGUAGGGAGCAAACAGGAUUAGAUACCCUUGUAGUC
rnacentral:rRNA from 1 species